rnacentral:rRNA from 1 species
AUUGAACGCUGGCGGCAGGCCUAACACAUGCAAGUCGAACGAGUGGCGGACGGGUGAGUUAUGUUUGGGAAUCUGCCUGAUGGCGGGGGAUAACUCCUGUAAACUGUCGCUAAUCCCGCAUACCAUCGGAUGAGCCCAAGUGGGAUUAGUUAGUAGGUGGGGUAAUGGCUCACCUAGGCCACGAACCCUCGCUGGGCUGAGAGGAUGACGAGCCACACUGGAAAUGAGAAACGGUCCAGACUCCUACGGGAGGCAGCAGUGGGGAAUAUUGCACAAUGGGCGCAAGCCUGAUGCAGCCAUGCCGCGUGUAUGAAGAAGGCCUUCGGGUUGUAAAGUACUUUCAGCGAGGAGGCGUUACCCGCAGAAGAAGCACCGGCUAACUCCGUGCCAGCAGCCGCGGUAAUAC